rnacentral:rRNA from 1 species
GAUGAACGCUGGCGGCGUGCCUAAUACAUGCAAGUCGAGCGAAUGGAUUGAGAGCUUGCUCUUAUGAAGUUAGCGGCGGACGGGUGAGUAACACGUGGGUAACCUGCCCAUAAGACUGGGAUAACUCCGGGAAACCGGGGCUAAUACCGGAUAACAUUUUGAAACGCAUGGUUCGAAAUUGAAAGGCGGCUUCGGCUGUCACUUAUGGAUGGACCCGCGUCGCAUUAGCUAGUUGGUGAGGUAACGGCGCACCAAGGCAACGAUGCGUAGCCGACCUGAGGGGGUGAUCGGCCACACUGGGACUGAGACACGGCCCAGACUCCUACGGGAGGCAGCAGUAGGGAAUCUUCCGCAAUGGACGAAAGUCUGACGGAGCAACGCCGCGUGAGUGAUGAAGGCUUUCGGGUCGUAAGGCUCUGUUGUUAGGGAAGAACAAGUGCUAGUUGAAUAAGCUGGCACCUUGACGGUACCUAACCAGAAAGCCACGGCUAACUACGUGCCAGCCGCCGCAGUAA